rnacentral:rRNA from 1 species
UACAGAGGGUGCAAGCGUUGUUCGGAAUUAUUGGGCGUAAAGCGCGUGUAGGCGGCGUGACAAGUCGGGUGUGAAAAGCCCUCGAGCUCAACCUGAGGAAGUGCGCCCGAAACUGUCGUGCUUGAGUGCCGGAGAGGGGUGGCGGAAAUUCCCCAAGUGGAGGUGAAAUUCGUAGAUAUUGGGAAGAACACCGGGUGGCGAAGGCGACCAUCUGGACGAC